AUACAUUCUGAUAUUAUAACAUCACAAUAAUGCGAUCGUUUGGAUUCAUACCGAGAACAGUAAAAACAAUAUGCUUUCUGAUUGAAUUAUUCAAGCUCGUAGCUUUUAAGUUUCAAUUAUAGAUACAAACAUUGUAGGCAAGAGAAACUGAACAAUAAACAGCAUUUUCUUGCUGAGGUAUAAAAAGCAGUGAGUUGCGGAAAAUGAUUUUUUUAAAGAUGAAAGUGUAGCCCAUCAUUAAGAUCAAAUCUAUGAGAGGAGAAGCUCUGCAAAGCACAGUGUUGCUACAGUACACUACUCCAGAUGUAAUCCCACACAGACUUCCUUGGCUAUGAUUCCGACUUAUUCAGUAAUUACAAGCAACAAAGAAAACAGGCGCCUGCAAACCUAUACUUGCUGCCCUCAGAGUGGAACUUGCUGAGUCUUCCAAAGAAGAACCCAUAAGGAUAGAUUGCAGGAGGACCAGCUUUUGAGGAAAGUUGAAGAAUCAAAAUGAAGAAAAACAAAAAAUUAAGACAUUACAGGCUGCCCCUCCUCGCCAUCGGGUGACUGCCGUCUCCCUGUGGAGAAAGUGCAGCUGGAAUGACGACAAGGGAUGGAUUUCUGCUGGGCCCAUCUGGGAACAACAGUGGGAUUUACUGCCCUGGCUGGCAGGGAACACACAGCACUGCCUGGCUGACCCAAAGAAUGAGCCUCAAGCCCCUGUGCUUUUGAAGAGGGAUGGAGGAAAAAAGAAAGCAGAAAAACCAACACCAGAGUCCUGAAGAGUGAUCUGAGCUUACAAAACAAACAGGAGUCUGAGUGUGCUGAGAGAUCUACACUCAAACAAUUGGGACCCUCAGGUGAUUGCAAAAUUUGGAGGUAAGCCAAGCCUGCCAUUUAUUUUCUGGUUUGUUUGUUUGUUUUCAAGCACAGGUGUUGUGAGAUUUUUUUCUAUUAUGUUCUUGAGUUUUUUUUUUCCCCCAGCAGAGUAAUACACUAUUCC
rnacentral:lncRNA from 1 species